UCAAAAAUGCUGAAUCAUCAUCUGUCCUCAAGCUCUGUUAUUCAAUAAGUAACUUGUCCUCCCCCACAGCUUACACAUUCUUUUUCUUUUUACUGUUGGUCAUUUUUAUCUCAUUUAUCUUUAGUUCACAUUUGACGAGGUGAGAUUUCUAAAUUGCAAAAGUGUCAACUCAUGAGAUUUUUACCAAGGGAACGCAAGUUGAGGUUAGCAGUGAUGAAGAGGGUUUAAUGGUACUUUGUUUGCUGCAACUAUAGUGGAAACUGUGGGGGAGGACAAGUUCCUUAUUGAAUACCAGAGCUUGAGGACAGAAGAUGAUUCAGCAUUUCUGAG
rnacentral:pre_miRNA from 1 species